rnacentral:rRNA from 1 species
CGGACGGGUGAGUAAUGUAUGGGGAUCUGCCUGAUGGCGGGGGAUAAUUACUGGAAACGGUAGCUAAUACCGCAUAACGUCGCAAGACCAAAGAGGGGGACCUUAGGGCCUCUUGCCAUCGGAUGUGCCCAGAUGGGAUUAGCUAGUAGGUGGGGUAACGGCUUACCUAGGCGACGAUCCCUAGCUGGUCUGAGAGGAUGAUCAGCCACACUGGGACUGAGACACGGCCCAG